GGUACAGGCUGGGAUUGUAGUCCUGCAGCCUUGUGGCCGAAGGGCUGGGACUGGCCAUGAGAUUACAUGUCCUAGCAUGCUCAGCCAGGCGCGCGCAGCUCUGCCCCUUCCUCCAGUGAUGCGCACAGUCCCUGAUCCCUGUGCACGCUGGGAUUGUAGUCCUGCAGCCCUGCGAUCACUUGCAGGUAACAAGAAAUUUCAGCUUCCGGCAUGAUGGGCGAAGGCCCCCACCUUCAGCCUCGCUCCUCCAUGCCUUCAGAGCUGUUCCGCCAUGCAGACGGGGAGCCUGCCUGUUCUUUAACCUCUCCUACCUGAUGGGAGAGGACAAGCUACCAGGACAGCUUGUCUCACCAAGAAAUUGUGAUACCGCAUCCCCCAACGUGCUGGCUUCCUGACUUCCAAAGUUGCGGCAAGGUAAGAAGAACUACAGAGGAAGAACCUAAUGCAGACGUUUCCCAGGAGACUUUAACUGAAGUAUCAGCAAACUGAAAGGUAACGAGAGAAUCUUGUGCCUCUGAGGGUGUCUUUCCCAUGGAUCCCUGCUCAGUUGCCUUUCACGGGCCCCCUGAUUUGCGUGAACUCCUGACCUCAGAUGAUCCGCCUGCCUUGGCCCUCCAAAGUGCUGGAAUUAUAGGCAUGAGCCACCGUGCCUGGCCUGUUCCAUGCAUUAAAAAAAAAUAAAAAAAUUAAAAAAAAUCAGUGAGAACAAGAAGAAAUGUAAAUGCUGGGCUUUUCAUAUAAAUCCAGGGAAUUAUGGGACAGUUAGUACCCACCUCCCAGGGUAUUAUAAGGAUAAAUUCAUGUCAUCUUCCCAGCUCCGUAGCGUGCUUCUGAGCACACAGAGCAUGCUCCAUAAACAUUGCAUUAACGCAUGUGUGCAUGUUGUUUUCCAAAUGCAGACUUACUCAGACAUGAGCUGCCUUCUCCAGCCUCUGUAAAGUUUAAAGGACCAGCAGAGUGUGCCAUGUUUUAGGAUAGUGAUUGGUGGUUUUUAUUUUGGACUGAAAGCAUUUAUGUUGUGAGAAGAGUAUAGGUUUAAGGAACUGUGUGCUGUGGCACUUUGUCUAGUUGAGUGCUGCUAUAAGUGAUCUAGGGCAAGUAGGGUCAGCAUUAGCUGUGAAUGAAGCCAAGGCAUGAGCCACCGUGCCUGGCCUUUCUGUGUAUAUGUUUAUCUAGCCACCGAUAUCAUAUCUAUAUGUAUAAAAAAGACCACCAAAGUGCUCAGAGGUGAUUUUUAUUUUCCAUUCAGGCCAAGUAAAUCCAAUCAGCCAUUAGCUCAGUGAAGAUUUGUCAAAUCCAAGCCACACACCAAAUCACGUUAUGCUAAAUGUGAAAAUGUCCUCAUUACUGGGCACCAAGGUGUUUUAAAUUCAGAGUCUAAUCAAAACAGCUCAUGGGGUUCUGUCCAUCCAGCUAGGACGCUUCAGACAUACCAGUGGGCCUAACCUUUUUCACAAGGAGCUCUGGCCUGGCCAACAAGAAUCACCUUUGGUGCUUCAGUGCAGUGUCACCAUCACCUGUUUGAAAUGCAGCCAGGUAACAUGUACCAUUUUAUUUGCUUUCAGUAUCACAGUCUAUCUUCUAAUAAGAAACCUAGGCCUCUGGCUGGGUGUGGUGGCUUACACCUGUAACCCAGCACUUUGAGAGGCUGAGGUGGGUGGAUCACUUGAGGUCAGGAGUUCGAGACCACCCUGGCCAACAUGGUGAAACUCCCAUCUCUACUAAAAAUAUUAAAAUUAGCUGGGCAUGGUGGCAUGUGCCCUCUAAUCCCAGGUACUAGGGAGGCUGAGGCAGGAGAAUCACUUAAAACCG
rnacentral:lncRNA from 10 species